AAAUCAUUUCUCAUCUAAUGACAGGAUCACAGAUUCAGACCCAGAAAGACUCUCAGAGGUCAUCUAGGCUGAUCCCUUCAUUUUACAGAUAGGGAAACCAAGGCUCAUGAAGAUGAAGUCACACAGGUGACAGGGGAGUCAAUGGUGCCUGUUCAAAUGCUCGGAGAAUCUGAGAAGAGAGGAUUGGAAUGAUCAGCUCUGGUUCUGCACUGAUGGGUGCAUGAGUCACAAAUGUUUCCACAUGCAGAGCCAGCCAUCAAACAGACUGAGGACCUGUCAGUGGGACCAGUCUCUGCAUCUGAAAAUGAGCUGGAGAAAGGAGUGGCAAACCACUCCAGUAACUUUGUCAAGUCACACAUCUGAAAUGACUGAACAACCACAAGAACAAUAGAUUGUUUGAAGAUGACAGUUAUUCCCUGCCAUGUGAAACAGAAAAGACUACAUGGAAGAAGUUGAGAGAAGAUAAGUAAAUAUAACCACAUCAAAUAUGUAUACCAGUUGCUUUUUGAUAGUUCUAUGCAUUUGCACAAACUGGACCAUUAACCCUUGGAGUAUAAUUAAUUGCCUCUUGACUAUUAACCAUUUAUGUGACCUUCAUAGAGUCCUCCAUUCUUCCUAAGACUCAGUUUCUUCAUUUGUAAAAAGGGGGAGCAAGGCAAGUUCCUUCUAGCUUUAUCUACCUUCCUCAGAACUUUUAAGAUCUCUUUCUUAAGUUUUUUUGACUAUGGAAAUCACUUGAUAACAUUAAUCAUGAAACAAUAAAAGUUCUUGAGAAUGUGGCA
rnacentral:lncRNA from 1 species